GAAGGUAGAGCUCAGUGGCAGAGUGUGUGCUUAGCAUGCAUGUGGUCCUGGGUUCAAUCCCCAGUGCCUCCA
rnacentral:tRNA from 1 species